GGCUGUACGCUAUGUAUUUUAUAGUUUUAUUUUUACUUCAACGUUCUAUCCUUCACUUCCUGUUUCUUUGUUCCAUUGUUUUUAUUCUGUGGAAUAUUCCUUUUUGAAAUUCUUUCCCUUAUUUGGUCAUUCAAAAUAUCCUAGAACAAAGGAAGGGUGUACCACUCGGGAUGAAUAAGAGAGGAGAGGGCAGAUGAGAUUCGGACUCGAGGUGAGAGGGUGGUCAUACGAGCCUUCUGAUGGUACUUAAUUCCCUCCAUAUGUAUCAAAGAAGAAUUGUCAUAGGGGAAUGUGGCCCCAAAAUCUAUAAAAGUGGAAAAAGUGUAUUGACGAGAAAUGAAAAUUUAUUUAACAAAGACAGUGACUACCAGUACUCUAGUUGAUUUGAUUCCAGACCAUGAAGGAAUUCAUUGGCCUUUUGAUAUGGCUUUUGAUGGUUUUUCUGCUGGAAUAAAAGUCAGAGGAUGUGUUGUAGGAUGUCCCUAUGAAGGGGCUGUAAGUCUUGGACUUAAAUGUCCAAGACCAAUUUAAUGGACAUUUAAAUACUUUUACAAGAAGAACACUGUUUUCUUUUUUUAAUUCUUCCAAUUUCUGUAUUACUUCUAUAAGCUGUUGUUUUAGCGAUUCCGUAUGAGUAGAAUUAUUAAUAUUGAUCAAGACAAUCUUGACUAAAGAAAAACAGUAAGUAAAGAUCUUUUGAAUUUCUCAUUGUGGUGUCAUCCCAAAGAGACUGAAUUGUAGAUAGAGAUUACAGAUACAUAUUUCACAUUAACAAAGUAUCCAUAUGUCAGAAAUGUUUUAAUAUAUUUCAUGAUAAAAUAAUUUAGCAAAAAUAUAAAAAUAUAUUAAAAUGGUAUUUAUAUU